rnacentral:rRNA from 1 species
GAUGAACGCUGGCGGCGUGCCUAAUACAUGCAAGUCGAGCGAACAGAUGAGGAUCUUGCUCCUCUGACGUUAGCGGCGGACGGGUGAGUAACACGUGGAUAACCUACCUAUAAGACUGGGAUAACUUCGGGAAACCGGAGCUAAUACCGGAUAAUAUAUUGAACCGCAUGGUUCAAUAGUGAAAGACGGUUUUGCUGUCACUUAUAGAUGGAUCCGCGCCGCAUGAGCUAGUUGGUAAGUUAACGGCUUACCAAGGCAACGAUGCGUAGCCGACCUGAGAGGGUGAUCGGCCACACUGGAACUGAAACACGGUCCAGACUCCUACGGGAGGCAGCAGUCGGGAAUCUUCCGCAAUGGGCGAAAGCCUGACGGAGCAACGCCGCGUGAGUGAUGAAGGUCUUCGGAUCGUAAAACUCUGUUAUUAGGGAAGAACAAAUGUGUAAGUAACUAUGCACGUCUUGACGGUACCUAAUCAGAAAGCCACGGCUAACUACGUG